rnacentral:rRNA from 1 species
GACGAACGCUGGCGGCGUGCUUAACACAUGCAAGUCGAACGGAAAGGCCCUGCUUUUGUGGGGUGCUCGAGUGGCGAACGGGUGAGUAACACGUGAGUAACCUGCCCUUGACUUUGGGAUAACUUCAGGAAACUGGGGCUAAUACCGGAUAGGAGCUCCUGCUGCAUGGUGGGGGUUGGAAAGUUUCGGCGGUUGGGGAUGGACUCGCGGCUUAUCAGCUUGUUGGUGGGGUAGUGGCUUACCAAGGCUUUGACGGGUAGCCGGCCUGAGAGGGUGACCGGCCACAUUGGGACUGCGAUACGGCCCAGACUCCUACGGGAGGCAGCAGUGGGGAGUAUUGCACAGUGGGCGGAAGCCUGAUGCGGCAAUGCCGCGUGCGGGAUACCGGCCUUCGGGUUGUAAACCGCUUUCGCCUGUGACGAAGCGGGAGUGACGGUAAUGGGUAAAGAAGCACCGGCUAACUACGUG